GCGUCGGUAGCGGAACGGGUUAGACCACGCGCCCCCGGAUAGGGUGAAAUGCGGGUUCAAGUCCCGCCUGACGCA